rnacentral:ncRNA from 1 species
CCUACCACAACGGCUUCCUGGCGUGGCAAGGCAAACCUGUAAUGGAGCA